rnacentral:rRNA from 1 species
CCCCAAUCGGUGAGACAGGUAGGGCUGCGUCUCUCCCUCGCAUCUCUCUCUCGUGUUGACGCCGCCGCCCCCUCCCCUUCUCUUCGUUGCCUUCCCUCGCGCCGCCGCCCUCCGAGAAGCAACACGGCCACUACUGCUCCGCGUCGGGCCGAGCUUGCCACCGCCGCCGCUCUCCGCGUCGAGCUUGCCACCGCCGCCGCUCUCCCCGUCGUGCUCGUCCCUCACCACCGGCCCUCGGGUUGUGGAGGGGCAACAGGCAGCGGUGGAAGAGGAGAUCGACCACCAACCGCUGCCGCCCGUCCUCCUGCUUCGCCAUCAACGGGAGGAGGACCGGAGCGUGUCCUCAAGUUCGUGCUCCUCCGGGAAGAGGGCAAACCGAGAGCCAGGCAACUGUGGGAACAAGGAGAUGAGUUUCGUGGAGACGGUGAGCAGAACGGAGACAAGGAUGGCGACUUGAUGCUCCUUGGAGACGUCCUCUGGAGGUGAUUUUUCUGGGCCUUUUGUUUACUAUAUAUCAAUUGGAUCCGCAUGCAGCUGCUAUUCGUGUUGUUGUUCAGCUAUGUCAUGUUGUUUAGGUUCAUAUAUACACUACUCAAUUAGGUUCAUGAGAUCGUUCACUGUUGGACUGGGUGCCAUGGGAUCUCAGGUUAUGGAAUUUGGGGUGUUUUGGUUGUCUGAUGCUUUUAGUUUCAACUUAACUUUGCUUUAGAAAUGGUCAAUUGGACAUAACAACUGUUUGUAUAUUAGUGAAAUGUACGGAGUGGGGAUCUCUUUGUUAUUGUGGCAGCUGUUGGAUUGGGUGUUAUGGCAUCUGGUGAUCGGAUGCAGUUAGUCUUGGCUUGUUUUUGCUUGAUAAGUGGCUGAUUUGGGUUUGAUGAAUAGUUUUACUAUUGGCAGUAUAUACGGAAUGUGGACCUCUGGGUUGUCAUCUCAGGUUCAGAUGUUUUGGAUGUUUGGCUGAUCUGACGCUGUUAGUUUCGGCUUAUCUUUGCUCCAAAAAUUGGCAGUAUAUAACGCCCUCACCCCUGCUUAUCUCGCCUAACUCAUUCCUUCUUUCUUGCACUCGAGGAUCGUUGGUGCGUGCUCCCCCUGUUACACGGCGCUUAGGAGAAGGAGAGGCAUGGUCUCCACCAAAAAACAGACGAGGAAGAAGUGAGAUGCUGCUAGCCCCAUGGCCUGCUGCAUCUCCAAUCGGCGCUUGCAACAGGAGAACCACAUCCCUGGCCUCUCCAUGCCCCCCCAAGCGCCAACCUGUAGGCUACAACGACAAGUGCUCGAUGUGCAGCUUAUUUUGUCGACAUCGCGGUUUCAGUUUGCAAUAUUAGACCUACUUGUAUCAAGGGGAAAAUUCUAAUUUCUUUACAGCGGUGUUUGAACAAAAUGGCAUAUUCCGUGGGCUGGAUGAUAGAAGGACAUUUUGUUGAAGCACUCAAGAGGAGUAAUACUAUUGUGAUGCCAACACAUGCGUCUUCGCCGCCGGCCGUAUGCUGCAUCGGCGACUGGCUGCGGCAGCAGAGGAGCGCAUGUUGCCGCCGGCCAUACGCUGCAUAGGUUGCGGCAGCAGAGGACGCAACGCCAUCGAGGGCGCAUGACGCGGAGGCAAGCGGGCAGCUGUCCAUGGGACGUCGCCGUGCUAUAUGCUCUGCUGUGUUCGUGCUCGUGAAGUGUCGAGCUCUCCUUUUGGUUUCAGUUAGGUGCUUUCAGUUCAAUUAGGCUACUGUCAGAUAGAGUGCUUUUAGUUUCAGUUAGUUUAAUAUAUAAAAGGGGACUUUUCUGCAAAUAUUGCUGGGGUGUGGAUGGGACUAUGACCAACGUGGCGUCCAAUGUGGCAAUUGCGGACUCGAUUUGUGUACAAGUGAACCCGCAAAACAUGUUUAGUGACUGGUUUGUCUCAAUUUUCAAGUUUUUUAC